GAACGCUAGCUACAGGCUUAACACAUGCAAGUCGAGGGCAGCAUGACGAUAGCUUGCUAUUGUCGAUGGCCGACCGGCGCACGGUGAGUAACGCGUAUCCAACCUUCCCGUUGCUAGGGGAUAACCUUGCGAAAGUAAGACUAAUACCCUAUGAGGUUCUUCGCAGGCAUCUAAAGAGAACGAAAGAUUUAUCGGCAACGGAUGGGGAUGCGUCUGAUUAGGUUGUUGGCGGGGUAACGGCCCACCAAGCCUACGAUCAGUAGGGGUUCUGAGAGGAAGGUCCCCCACAUUGGAACUGAGACACGGUCCAAACUCCUACGGGAGGCAGCAGUGAGGAAUAUUGGUCAAUGGACGGAAGUCUGAACCAGCCAAGUAGCGUGCAGGAAGACGGCCCUAUGGGUUGUAAACUGCUUUUAUAAGGGAAUAAAGUGGGUCUCGUGAGACUUUCUGCAUGUACCUUAUGAAUAAGGACCGGCUAAUUCCGUG
rnacentral:rRNA from 1 species